CACGUAGGGCGCAAGCGUUGUCCGGAAUUAUUGGGCGUAAAGAGCUCGUAGGCGGCAUGACAAGUCACUUGUGAAAUCUCCGGGCUUAACUCGGAACGGUCAAGUGAUACUGUCGCGCUAGAGUGCGGAAGGGGCAAUCAGAAUUCUUGGUGUAGCGGUGAAAUGCAUAGAUAUCAAGAGGAAUACCUGAGGUGAAGACGGGUUGCUAGGCCGACACUGACGCUGAAGCGCGAAAGCCAGGGGAGCAAACGGG
rnacentral:rRNA from 1 species